rnacentral:rRNA from 1 species
AUUGAACGCUGGCGGCAGGCUUAACACAUGCAAGUCGAGCGGGCGAGGUUGCUUCGGUAACUGAGCUAGCGGCGGACGGGUGAGUAAUGCUUAGGAAUCUGCCUAUUAGUGGGGGACAACAUUCCGAAAGGAAUGCUAAUACCGCAUACGCCCUACGGGGGAAAGCAGGGGAUCCUCGGACCUUGCGCUAAUAGAUGAGCCUAAGUCAGAUUAGCGAGUUGGUGGGGUAAAGGCCUACCAAGGCGACGAUCUGUAGCGGGUCUGAGAGGAUGAUCCGCCACACUGGGACUGAGACACGGCCCAGACUCCUACGGGAGGCAGCAGUGGGGAAUGUUGGACAAUGGGCGGAAGCCUGAUCCAGCCAUGCCGCGUGUGUGAAGAAGGCCUUUUGGUUGUAAAGCACUUUAAGCGAGGAGGAGGCUACUUGGAUUAAUACUCUAGGAUAGUGGACGUUACUCGCAGAAUAAGCACCGGCUAACUCUGUGCCAGCCGCCGCAGUAAAAC